rnacentral:rRNA from 1 species
GUGCGCAGGCGGUUUGGUUAAGACUGUCGUGAAAUACCCCGGGCCGUCAACCUGGGAAUGGCGAUGGUGACUGCAAGGCUAGAGUUUGGCAGAGGGGGGUAGGAAUUCCACGUGUAGCAGUGAAAUGCGUAGAUAUGUGGAGGAACACCGAUGGCGAAGGCAGCCCCCUGGGUCAAAACUGACGCUCAUGCACGAAAGCGUGGGGAGCAAACAGGAUUAGAUACCCGAGU